UACGAGGGGGGGCAAAUGUUGUUCGGAAUCACUGGGCGUAAAGGGUGCGUAGGCGGCGCGGUAAGUCGGGUGUGAAAUCUCGGAGCUUAACUCCGAAACUGCAUUCGAUACUGCCGUGCUUGAGGACUGGAGAGGAGACUGGAAUUUACGGUGUAGCGGUGAAAUGCGUAGAUAUCGUAAGGAAGACCAGUGGCGAAGGCGGGUCUCUGGACAGUUCCUGACGCUGAGGCACGAAGGCUAGGGGAGCAAACGGG
rnacentral:rRNA from 1 species